AGUGAACGCUGGCGGUAGGCCUAACACAUGCAAGUCGAACGGCAGCACAGUAAGAGCUUGCUCUUACGGGUGGCGAGUGGCGGACGGGUGAGGAAUACAUCGGAAUCUACUUUUUCGUGGGGGAUAACGUAGGGAAACUUACGCUAAUACCGCAUACGACCUACGGGUGAAAGCAGGGGAUCUUCGGACCUUGCGCGAUUGAAUGAGCCGAUGUCGGAUUAGCUAGUUGGCGGGGUAAAGGCCCACCAAGGCGACGAUCCGUAGCUGGUCUGAGAGGAUGAUCACCCACACUGGAACUGAGACACGGUCCAGACUCCUACGGGAGGCAGCAGUGGGGAAUAUUGGACAAUGGGCGCAAGCCUGAUCCAGCCAUACCGCGUGUGUGAAGAAGGCCUUCGGGUUGUAAAGCCCUUUUGUUGGGAAAGAAAAGCAGCAGGUUAAUACCCCGCUGUUCUGACGGUACCCAAAGAAUAAGCACCGGCUAACUUCGUG
rnacentral:rRNA from 1 species